rnacentral:rRNA from 1 species
UACGUAGGGUGCAAGCGUUGUCCGGAAUUAUUGGGCGUAAAGAGCUCGUAGGCGGCCUGUUGCGUCUGCUGUGAAAUCCCGGGGCUCAACCCCGGGCGUGCAGUGGAUACGGGCGGGCUAGAGGCAGGCAGGGGAGAACGGAAUUCCCGGUGUAGCGGUGAAAUGCGCAGAUAUCGGGAGGAACACCGGUGGCGAAGGCGGUUCUCUGGGCCUGUUCUGACGCUGAGGAGCGAAAGCAUGGGGAGCGAACAGG